rnacentral:rRNA from 1 species
GACGAACGCUGGCGGCAUGCCUAACACAUGCAAGCCGAACGGAGAUUAUUUCGGUAAUCUUAGUGGCGAACGGGUGAGUAACGCGUAGGCAAACCUGCCCUUUAGUUGGGGACAACAAUCCCGAAAAGGGGUGCUAAUACCGAAUGUGAUCGCUUUUCCGCAUGGAAGAGCGAUGAAAGAUGGCCUCUAUUUAUAAGCUAUCGCUAAAAGGAUGGGGCCUGCGUCUGAUUAGCUAGUUGGUGGGGUAACGGCCUACCAAGGCGACGAUCAGUAGCCGGUCUGAGAGGAUGAACGGCCACAUUGGGACUGAGACACGGCCCAGACUCCUACGGGAGGCAGCAGUGGGGAAUCUUCCGCAAUGGGCGAAAGCCUGACGGAGCAAUGCCGCGUGAGUGAAUGAAGGAAUUCGUUCCGUAAAAGCUCUUUUGUUUAUGACGAAUGUGCAGACUGUGAAUAAUGGUUUGUAAAUGAACGGUAAGUAAAACGAAUAAAGCCAACGGCUAAACUACGU